rnacentral:rRNA from 1 species
AUUGAACGCUGGCGGAAUGCUUUACACAUGCAAGUCGAACGGUAACAGGUCUUCGGAUGCUGACGAGUGGCGAACGGGUGAGUAAUAUAUCGGAACGUGCCCAGUCGUGGGGGAUAACGUAGCGAAAGUUACGCUAAUACCGCAUACGAUCUAUGGAUGAAAGCGGGGGAUCGCAAGACCUCGCGCGAUUGGAGCGGCCGAUAUCAGAUUAGGUAGUUGGUGGGGUAAAGGCUCACCAAGCCAACGAUCUGUAGCUGGUCUGAGAGGACGACCAGCCAAACUGGAACUGAGACACGGUCCAGACUCCUACGGGAGGCAGCAGUGGGGAAUUUUGGACAAUGGACGCAAGUCUGAUCCAGCCAUUCCGCGUGCAGGAUGAAGGCCCUCGGGUUGUAAACUGCUUUUGUACGGAACGAAAAGGUCUCUCCUAAUACGAGGGGCUCAUGACGGUACCGUAAGAAUAAGCACCGGCUAACUACGUGCCAGCCGCCGCCGUAACAC